GUGACCUUCUCACAACUCUUCCUGGACAACUCCUCCGAGGAGCCAGGUGGCUGGCUCCCUGGCGCAGGGCCUGGGCUCAGCAUGGGCACUUCUGUGUGGGCAUGCUGCUCGGGGGUCCCGGCCUGGCCCUGUGGCUGGGACCAGGAGCACUGGAGCAGACUGGGAGCUUAGAACUCUCAUCCGGACCUCUGGGCUCUGGAUUCAGCGUUUGCAGCGAGCACAUCAUCUCGGGUCAUGAAAUUGCUACCUCAUUGAAGCAUGAUAUUUGAGGAGACCGACAUCAAUGUUCCUGGGUAAUGGUCCACUCAUAUUUGGCUCCAGAAUAAAUCAUGUAUUUUAUUCCUUUAAGGGACCCUAGUGAUUACACCAGGCCCAGCCCAGUACCUCAGGCUGUGAUGUUGCCACCAUCCGGGUCACAUUACCCUUUGCUUAGGCCUGCUGCAGCAGCCUCCGAGCUUGGCCUCUAUGAAUGAAGUUUUGGGGCUCACUUACAGAGCAUGCGUGAAAGGUGAGUGGGUGACCGCCUCAGUGCGACCAUACUGAAAAGUCUGCACCUGGCAUGGAUGAUGGCUUCCUCAGACCUGUGCGGAUGGAGCCCCUCACCUUCCUCCCCAGCCUGCCUGCUCCUGCUCUCCGAGAUGCCAAAGCUGCCCGCAAGCAAUUAGGGCAGACUCACAUUCAAAUGGCAUGGAGGAGAGGCUAGCUACUCACUGAGGGUCAGAUGACACCUCCUCCUAACUCCAUACACACACACCUCACACCUCCUCCUGCGAGGGAACAUAGACAGUCAACACGUCUAGCUGAGAGAAGAUUUGGCAUCGGGCACAGCUGAACUCAUGAAAAUGGCGUCUGUUUGGUUCCACAGAUAGUGCUGGACAACAGCCUCUCCACCCACCCAAACACCCCCUCCUCUCGAGCAGAUGAGCACUUUAGUAUGUGCCUGGGACCACAGCAAUCACUCCUCUGUCUAAAACCCUGUGGGCUCCCCCAUCGCCCUCCGAGACCCGGCCAACCUUCAGCAUAGCACAAUGGCUCCAGGUAUGGCCAGGUAGUCCAUACCAUUGCUCAGCUCUCUUUGCUGGGCUGACAAGCAUCCCCUGGGCUGUUCUAGAUUUAGCACUCUGGCAUCUUGGAAAACUCCUCAGUCCAGGGCAAACCAGGCUGGCCUGCCUCCUACCACACCUGCCUGCCUCUUGCUUUCGCAACAGCAGCUGCUGGAGUUCCCUUCAUUCAGGAAGCAGGGACCCCCCUUCCCGCCAGACUUUUCCCACUCUGGUGCCCAUUAGGACUCUGUUGAGCUGCAAGAAACUGAGAACUAGCCAGGCAUGCCUUAAUUCUGGCACUUCGAAGGUAGAAGGCAGGUAGAUCUUAGUGAGUUCCACACCACUUCCAAUGGUCUACAUAGUGAGUUCUUGGCUGGCCAGAGCUACACAGUAAGACCCUGUCUAAAAAGACAGAAAGAAAAAAAAUGAAGAGUGGCUAAAACAAAUGCAGGUCUAUCUAUCUAUCUAUCUAUCUAUCUAUCUAUCUACUUUUCACACAGCAAAGAAAUUCAGAGGGGGAUGAUUGCUAUCCUCAGGUCUGCAUCUGAUGACUGCAUCAGAGUGCAGGCUGAGCAAGACACGGGGAGCAAGCCAGUAAGCAGCAUCCUCCCAUGACCUCUGCAUCAGCUCCUGCCUCAGGUUCCUGCCCUGUUUGAGCUCCUGCCCUGACUUCCUUCAGUGGUGUAUGUGAUGUAGAAGUGU